GGCUGGGGAGAAGCCGGGAGCGAGUCCAGGCGGCAGUUUUUAGGUCCGUCAGUACUGCACCGCAAGAAUGGCAGAUUUUGGGAUCUCUGCUGGCCAGUUUGUGGCAGUGGUCUGGGAUAAGUCAUCCCCAGUGGAGGCUCUGAAAGGUCUGGUGGAUAAGCUUCAAGUGUUAACUGGCAAUGAGGGCCACGUGUCUGUGGAAAACAUCAACCAGCUGUUGCAAUCUGCCCACAAAGAAUCCAGCUUUGACAUUAUUUUGUCGGGUUUAGUCCCGGGAAGCACCACUCUGCACAGUGCUGAGAUUUUGGCUGAAAUCGCCCGGAUCCUUCGGCCUGGUGGAUGUCUUUUUCUGAAAGAGCCAGUAGAGACAGCUGUAGAUAACAAUAGCAAAGUGAAGACAGCAUCUAAGCUGUGUUCAGGCCUGACUCUUUCUGGUCUUGUGGAAGUGAAAGAGCUGCAGCGGGAGCCCCUAACCCCUGAGGAAGUACGGUCUGUUCGAGAACACCUUGGUCAUGAAAGUGACAACCUACUGUUUGUUCAGAUCACAGGCAAAAAACCAAACUUUGAAGUGGGUUCUUCUAGGCAGCUUAAGCUUUCCAUCACCAAGAAGUCUUCUCCUUCAGUGAAGCCUGCUGUGGACCCUGCUGCUGCCAAGCUGUGGACCCUUUCAGCCAACGAUAUGGAGGAUGACAGCAUGUGCAUCUUCUGUGGAUGUAGUUUAACUCACCGUUGGCCUCUUGAGCAUGUGGUCAGGUUGAAUGUGAUGAUCAACCAAAAGGAGGACAGGGUGGACACCUUCUUUACCCUGGACUCUAAGUUUCCUCUGGAAGCCUGUGGUCACUUAACUUUU
rnacentral:sRNA from 1 species